UGCAUGAGUAAACUGCAACAACUAAGCUAUUAUAAAUACAAGACAUAGCAUUGGCAGAUAAGGGUUUUAUGGUUGGGAGGGAAAUGGUAGAGUCUCUUUAAAAUGCUUGGAAGCUGAUAUCUUUAAAGUGGAGUAUGGCAGAAGAUCAAAGAAACAUCAGUAUUAACUAAAAGGAUAUGAUGUAAAGUAACUAUUACCUGGGCAAGUUACAGCAGUAUCCCCCACAGACCAGUUCCAAGUUCAUCUGCUCUUAACUAUAUUAAAUCAAAAAAGGAUAAAGUUCAAGAUAAUCACUGAUAACACCUCCUGUACUCAAGGGGAUUUCUCCACUGGCUACAUCUAGGCAGAACACCCCAAGACUCUGCCUUUCCAAGCAGAACAAGAGAUGCAGCAGGCCAGAGAUUCCAGCCUAAUCCCUCACUCAGUCACAGCAUCAUGAAGAUCAGUGCAGACUGCGUUUUGUCCAGCUUCUCUGAUGGAUUUUCUAGCCUGAACUAACCUUCACGCUUCCAUUGGCUACACCGCUUUUAGUAUCCAAACUUAGUUUAAAGCAAGCUCCAGUACAUUAAAACAC